rnacentral:rRNA from 1 species
UACGAAGGGGGCUAGCGUUGCUCGGAAUCACUGGGCGUAAAGCGCACGUAGGCGGGUCUUUAAGUCAGGGGUGAAAUCCCAGAGCUCAACUCUGGAACUGCCUUUGAUACUGGGUAUCUUGAGUAUGGAAGAGGUGAGUGGAAUUCCGAGUGUAGAGGUGAAAUUCGUAGAUAUUCGGAGGAACACCAGUGGCGAAGGCGGCUCACUGGUCCAUUACUGACGCUGAGGUGCGAAAGCGUGGGGAGCAAACAGG